rnacentral:rRNA from 1 species
UACGAAGGGGGCGAGCGUUGUUCGGAUUUACUGGGCGUAAAGGGCGCGCAGGCGGCUAUCCAAGUCAGGCGUGAAAGCCCCGGGCUUAACCUGGGAGGUGCGUCUGGGACUGGGUGGCUAGAGUUCGGGAGAGGAGAGUGGAAUUCCCAGUGUAGAGGUGAAAUUCGUAGAUAUUGGGAAGAACACCGGUGGCGAAGGCGGCUCUCUGGACCGAGACUGACGCUGAGGCGCGAAAGCUAGGGGAGCAAACAGG